CGUAGUUGCCUGUCACUGGUCGGCAUUUCAUCAGGUUAUCUGUGCACAUGUGAUCACUUAGGACCUGAACUAGCCUUUGCCUGCCACUGGCUGAGAAUGUUUUACUAGCCCAUAAUCUCCUCAGAUAUGCAUGCUGUUCAACUGUUAGACCCAGUAUUUCAGCUAGCAAAGAAUCCUUUAAAAACGACUGCCAGAUCAAGCGGAGAUCGGCGCUAGGUUAACUACAAAUUCAAUUUACUUUAAUCGUAAACCAAUACAUUUCGUUUCUAAAGUAACCUUCCAAUCUUUGCAAGAUGGGCCAGCCAAUAUGCGUCAUAAAAAAACAAAAUCCAAUGUAUCUCCAUGAAGUCAAUCAAUCAAUCAUCAUUACACUGGACAGUGACGACAUUGAAGCGAAUCUGUACCACCGAUAACAACGGGUCGUUUGAUCCAAGCCAACGAUCUGGUACUAGAAAGAUAACCAGGAUUUCUACUAUCUUACGAGGAGGGAUGGUGGGAAGCGGAAAAAUGUCAUGUUUAAUUAAAAAUAAAACCCUUAGCGCGCAGAAGACGAGCGCUGAGUGUUGUGGUGAGUGUAAUCGCCUUUGGCAAUGCGAAAAGCUGCGAUUUGAUAUCAGUCCCAAUUACGUGGCUGAGGCGCGUAACACUAACACACAACGCCGAUAGUCUCGAUUGUUGUCUCAAGUGCUACGCUCCCGCUGAUAGGUUAUCAUCGUUCAUCGUCUUCGUAGUUUGGAACGACCGUGUCCAACCGUGGAAGUGCCGUCUCGCAGUGUCCGGGCAGCGUGUCAACAGUUUACACAAGCCAGCCCAAUCAUGGCUUUUGGAGACGGCGAUUCCGUGUCAUCGAGCAAACUCCUUGCUGUGGUAGAGCCCUCCGACCAGGACAUUGCUAUCCAGCACGUGCCAUCGGCUGGCUCAUCGGUGGGAAUCGAUUUCCUGCUGCUUGUUUGCUUCCUGGUGAUGAUCUUGCUGGUCGGGUUCGUGUUGCGACUGUUUCUUCAAAUGUGGCGUGCCCGCAUCGAGUGCCAAUGGACGGAGGAUGCGGCCGUAGUACGGCGAUUAGUUUAGCGAGAAAGUGCAAAUUGUUGAACGCAUCGAGCGCUGCCGGAAGGGAGCGAGUGGCGGGAACUGGGCCGAAAGUGGGAAGUUGAUCUGUGAUAUUUGGUGCACUUGCGUCAUGGGCGAUCAUAAACAUGUGUGGUGUGAUUUUAUUGAAGGGUGAGACAUUAUUUUACUGCCCCGUUUAUUUCACUGCAGCCACGUAUGACGACACACACGCACACACUGUACUGUGAUAGAUGAUGUAGGGGGUUUGAAAGCAACGAUGGAUUGGAGUGUUCGAACCAGAAAACCAGCUGAUGGUGAUACGAGGAGAACUGAAAUUAAUAAAACGUCAGUAAAGUUGCUAACAAAUCUCUGCGGUCUUAUUUUUCAAUUUUGCUUUGGAGCCACACGUUAUUGAUGGGUAGUAAACCAAUACAUUUACAAAUCAGACCCUACAGAUUUCUACUGGUCACAUUUCCGUAA